GGGUAAAAAUGGAAAAAAGCAAAAGAAGACUCAUUUCAAAGAGAACUGACAGGACACAAGCAAAUUAGGAUGUUGGGGCUAGCGGCGGUGUGUGAAGAACAAGGAGUCAAGUGGAGGGGCUGUCAUGAACAGAGGCUGGAGUGUGGUGGCAUGAUCAUGGCUCACUGCAGCCUCAACCUCCUGGGCUCAAGUGAUCCUCCUGCCUCGGCCUCCCAAGCAGCUGGGACUACAGCUAUUCCUACUUGGUGUCACCUACAGAUUCAAACCACCCAAUUUCCCCAGACAGAACCUAAAACAGGGGUCAGAAAACCAUAGACUGCCUGUUCUUGUAAAUAAAGAAUACAGUAAUGCCCAUUCA